rnacentral:rRNA from 1 species
CCAAGUUACUAAGGGCACACGGUGGAUGCCUUGGCACCAGGAGCCGAAGAAGGACGUAGGAGCCUGCGAUAAGCCCCGGGGAGUCGGCAACCAGACUUCGAUCCGGGGAUUUCCGAAUGGGGAAACCUGUUGGGCAUAAUUGCCCAUCACCCCUGCCUGAACACAUAGGGCAGGUGGAGGUAACGUGGGGAAGUGAAACAUCUCAGUACCCACAGGAAGAGAAAGCAACCGCGAUUCCCUGAGUAGUGGUGAGCGAAAAGGGAAGAGGCCAAACCAAUCACGUGUUAAAGCCGGCAGGCGUUGCGUGGUCGGGGUAGCGGGACCGUUCUGUUAGAGCUGCUGAUCUAGCAGGGAGUUAUAAAUCGUAUGGGUAGUCCAAGACGUUGGAAAGCGUCGGCACAGAGGGUGAUACCCCCGUAAGCGAAACCUGUACGACUCCCGAACGGGAUCCCAAGUAGCACGGAGCCCGAGAAAUUCCGUGUGAAUCCGGGAGGACCACCUCCUAAGCCUAAAUACUCCCUGGUGACCGAUAGUGAACAAGUACCGUGAGGGAAAGGUGAAAAGCACCCCGGUGAGGGGUCGUGAAAUAGUACCUGAACCCGUGUGCCUACAAGCCGUGGGAGCGUGUCAGCUCUGCUGACGUGAAGUGACCGCGUGCCUUUUGAAGAAUGAGCCUGCGAGUUACGGUAUGUGGCAAGGUUAACCCGUGAGGGGUAGCCGUAGCGAAAGCGAGUCUUAAUAGGGCGUCUGAGUCGCAUGCUGUAGACCCGAAGCGGAGUGAUCUACCCAUGGGCAGGUUGAAGCGCGGGUAAGACCGCGUGGAGGACCGAACCCACCAGGGUUGAAAACCUGGGGGAUGACCUGUGGGUAGGGGUGAAAGGCCAAUCAAACUCCGUGAUAGCUGGUUCUCCCCGAAAUGCAUUUAGGUGCAGCGUCACGUGUUUCUUACCGGAGGUAGAGCUACUGAUUGGCCUAGGGGGCCCACAAGCUUACUGAAGUCAGUCAAACUCCGAAUGCCGGUAAGUGAGAGCGUGGCAGUGAGACUGUGGGCGAUAAGGUUCAUAGUCGAGAGGGAAACAACCCAGAUCACCAGCUAAGGCCCCUAAGCGUGUGCUAAGUGGAAAAGGAUGUGGAGUUGCACAGACAACCAGGAGGUUGNNGGGCUCAAGCACACCGCCGAAGCUGUGGCAUUCGCGCGUUAACUCGGCUCUCCUUUGCGGAGGCGGCUGAGGCUUCAACCAACGUGGAUUUCGGUCCAUCGCGGUUGCUGCCAGGGCUGCCCGAGCGCUGAGAGUCCAGGUGCGCGGAUGGGUAGGGGAGCGUCGUGUGGCGAGUGAAGCGGCGGAGUGAUCCAGCCGUGGACGCUACACGAGUGAGAAUGCAGGCAUGAGUAGCGAAAGACGGGUGAGAAACCCGUCCGCCGAAUGACCAAGGGUUCCUGGGGCAGGCUAAUCCGCCCAGGGUAAGUCGGGACCUAAGGCGAGGCCGACAGGCGUAGUCGAUGGACAACGGGUUGAUAUUCCCGUACCCGCGUAGAUGCGCCCAUGCCGAACCUGGCGAUGCUAAGUGCGCGAAGCUGGUAAUUCCUUCGGGAAGAUCCGGCGGAGCCCGCGAACCAGACCGGUAGUAGGCAAGCUGAAGGGGUGACGCAGGAGGGUAGCUCUACCAGGCGAUGGUUGUCCUGGAGUAAAGGUGUAGGGCGGUGUGUAGGCAAAUCCGCACGCCACAAGCCUGAGACCUGAUGCCGAGCCUAUUUUGGCGAAGUGAGUGAUCCCAUGCUGCCGAGAAAAGCCUCGCAGCGAGCAUCUAAGCGGCCCGUACCCUAAACCGACUCAGGUGGUCAGGUAGAGAAUACCAAGGCGAUCGGAUGAACCGUGGUUAAGGAACUAGGCAAAUUAUCCCCGUAACUUUGGGAGAAGGGGAGCCGUGUCCGGUGAAGAGAUUUUCUCUCCGAGCUGGGCGUGGCCGCAGAGACCAGGGGAAAGCGACUGUUUACUAAAAACACAGGUCCGUGCAAAGUCGCAAGACGACGUAUACGGACUGACGCCUGCCCGGUGCUGGAANNCCAGUAAACGGCGGUGGUAACUAUAACCAUCCUAAGGUAGCGAAAUUCCUUGUCGGGUAAGUUCCGACCUGCACGAAUGGCGUAACGACUUUCCCACUGUCUCAACCACGGGUCCGGCGAAAUUGCACUACGAGUAAAGAUGCUCGUUACGCGCAGCAGGACGGAAAGACCCCGGGACCUUCACUGCAGCUUGACAUUGGUGUUUGGGUCGGCUUGUGUAGGAUAGGUGGGAGACUGUGAAGUAGGCACGCUAGUGCCUGUGGAGUCAUCGGUGAAAUACCACUCUGGUCGUUCUGGAUAUCUAACCUGGGUCCGUGAUCCGGAUCAGGGACAGUGUCUGGUGGGUAGUUUAACUGGGGCGGUUGCCUCCCAAAAGGUAACGGAGGCGCCCAAAGGUACCCUCAGCCUGGUUGGCAACCAGGUGUCGAGUGUAAGUGCACAAGGGUGCUUGACUGUGAGACAGACAUGUCGAGCAGGAGCGAAAGCUGGGACUAGUGAUCCGGCGGUGGCAUGUGGAAGCGCCGUCGCUUAACGGCUAAAAGGUACCCCGGGGAUAACAGGCUGAUCUUCCCCAAGAGUCCAUAUCGACGGGAUGGUUUGGCACCUCGAUGUCGGCUCGUCGCAUCCUGGGGCUGGAGUAGGUCCCAAGGGUUGGGCUGUUCGCCCAUUAAAGCGGUACGCGAGCUGGGUU